CUUAACACAUGCAAGUCGAGGGGCAGCAUGGUCUUAGCUUGCUAAGGCCGAUGGCGACCGGCGCACGGGUGAGUAACGCGUAUCCAACCUGCCUUACACUCUUGGACAGCCUUCUGAAAGGGAGAUUAAUACAAGAUGUUAUCAUGAGUAAGCAUUUUCGCAUGAUUAAAGGUUUACCGGUGUAAGAUGGGGAUGCGUUCCAUUAGAUAGUAGGCGGGGUAACGGCCCACCUAGUCUUCGAUGGAUAGGGGUUCUGAGAGGAAGGUCCCCCACAUUGGAACUGAGACACGGUCCAAACUCCUACGGGAGGCAGCAGUGAGGAAUAUUGGUCAAUGGACGAGAGUCUGAACCAGCCAAGUAGCGUGAAGGAUGAAGGUUCUAUGGAUUGUAAACUUCUUUUAUACGGGAAUAAACGAAUCCACGUGUGGAUUUUUGCAUGUACCGUAUGAAUAAGGAUCGGCUAACUCCGUGCCAGCAGCCGCGGUAAUACGGAGGAUCCGAGCGUUAUCCGGAUUUAUUGGGUUUAAAGGGAGCGUAGAUGGGUUGUUAAGUCAGUUGUGAAAGUUUGCGGCUCAACCGUAAAAUUGCAAUUGAUACUGGCAGUCUUGAGUACAGUUGAGGUAGGCGGAAUUCGUGGUGUAGCGGUGAAAUGCUUAGAUAUCACGAAGAACUCCGAUUGCGAAGGCAGCUUACUAACCUGUAACUGACAUUGAUGCUCGAAAGUGUGGGUAUCAAACAGGAUUAGAUACCCUGGUAGUCCACACGGUAAACGAUGAAUACUCGCUGUAGGCGAUAUACAGUCUGCGGCCAAGCGAAAGCAUUAAGUAUUCCACCUGGGGAGUACGCCGGCAACGGUGAAACUCAAAGGAAUUGACGGGGGCCCGCACAAGCGGAGGAACAUGUGGUUUAAUUCGAUGAUACGCGAGGAACCUUACCCGGGCUUAAAUUGCAACCGAAUAUGGCGGAAACGCUAUAGCUAGCAAUAGCGGUUGUGAAGGUGCUGCAUGGUUGUCGUCAGCUCGUGCCGUGAGGUGUCGGCUUAAGUGCCAUAACGAGCGCAACCCUUGCCGAUAGUUACUAACAGGUCAUGCUGAGGACUCUGUCGGGACUGCCAUCGUAAGAUGUGAGGAAGGUGGGGAUGACGUCAAAUCAGCACGGCCCUUACGUCCGGGGCUACACACGUGUUACAAUGGGGGGUACAGAGGGCUGCUACCACGCAAGUGGAUGCCAAUCCCAAAAACCUCUCUCAGUUCGGAUUGAAGUCUGCAACCCGACUUCAUGAAGCUGGAUUCGCUAGUAAUCGCGCAUCAGCCACGGCGCGGUGAAUACGUUCCCGGGCCUUGUACACACCGCCCGUCAAGCCAUGGGAGCCGGGGGUACCUGAAGUGCGUAACCGCAAGGAGCGCCCUAGGGUAAAACUGGUGACUGGGGCUAAGUCGUA
rnacentral:rRNA from 1 species